rnacentral:rRNA from 1 species
GACGUAGGGCGCGAGCGUUGUCCGGAUUUAUUGGGCGUAAAGAGCUCGUAGGCGGCUUGUCGCGUCGGCUGUGAAAACCCGCGGCUCAACUGUGGGCGGGCAGCUGAUACGGGCAGGCUGGAGUUCGGUAGGGGAGACUGGAAUUCCUGGUGUAGCGGUGAGAUGCGCAGAUAUCAGGAGGAACACUGGUGGCGAAGGCGGGUCUCUGGGCCGAUACUGACGCUGAGGAGCGAAAGCGUGGGGAGCGAACAGG